GCUCAAGGGCGUAGCUGCCGGGAGGUGUGAACAAGUCAGAGGCCAUCCUGCCACAGCCUGUCGCAGUCGGCGUCCGGGUCCCCUAGAGGUGCUCUCUGACACGGGCAUGGCCGGGUGGACGUGGGCAGACACACAAGUUCUGCAUGGUUUAAUUUGGCGGUCUCUUUUGUAGAUGCCUACCCACCGCCCCCCAUCUUUAAAUGCAGAAAUCCUUUGAGGUUGCAUGACUCAAGAACUGAAAUCCGAGGAUCAUCAUUUGCUCCCCAAAGGUCUUGACCUUGGCGCUCCAAGUCUGUCCCCAAAUAGCUGAAGUUUUGCAAGAAUCCUGCUAAAGUGCAUUUAGAGAGAAUUCUCCACCCUCGAGAGCUGAUCAGGUGUAAGCAGUCCUCGCGGACGUGAGUGUCGGCAACUGCUGUGUCCCACUCCCUCAAGGAUUUAUAACUAAGACUGAUUUAAGAAUCUGAGAUAGAGAC